AUCAUCGUCCCUGCUAAACACCUCCGCUUUUCUCUUCUCUCGCAUCUCUCCUUUAGAAACCCUAAUAUUAAACAUCACAACCCACCAAGAGUAACCUUUGUCGUCACCUAACCUUCACUAUCAUCAAACAAGCCACCUUCAUCACCAUCGAACUUCAUCUCACCACCGGUCACCACCGCCAUCUUUCCUCAAUAGCCAACGACAUCUAGCAUAUGCUCCUGUACUCUCAUCAUUUGACUUUGAUUUCUAUUUUUGAAGUUUUAAUCUCAUGUACCAUUUUUGACCUAGAUUUCUAUGGUGUUUUAGGUAUAAUUGGUCGAAACCUCACCACCAUCAAAUCAUUCAGCCUUUGUUCCUGCUAAAGAAAAAAGAAGGGACUCUUCAUUUGUUUUUUGAUUUAACAACGAUACAUAUUUCAUCCCCGCAUACUUGCUGCUAGAGGUCGGACUCCGUCUGGGCUUUAUUUAGGAUUGUAAUGACAUCUCUUUGAUUUGAUUUGGGCAAGGAACAGGUAACCCACAUUUACUGUUGCCUCCUUUCUAAAAAAAUGUCACACUCUCCUUUCUAUCACAAGAAAACCCUAACGGAUCACCACUAUGUAUUUAUUUGUAUAUAUAGGCCCUAAGUCUCGGCUCUCUCCCUAUAUUCGGCUAUAUCUAGGCAAAAAGGGAAUUGAAUCAUGGACACUACUCCUCAAUCGAUCUCAGUUGCAGCUGGAAUAUUCAUCAGGAAGCAUUUUCACAUAAUUCUGUUGUUAAUCAUGUUCCUCUUGAUUCCCAUUUUCUGUUUAUUUCUUAUUUGCAUUUGUAUUGAGAUUGUUCUUGAGCUCAUUCUUGGUUAAAUUACAAAUUUUGAGCUCUCCAAGAGAGAUCCACUACCACGUGUCUGCCCUGUUGAUUUAGGUCCAUGGUUCACCCUGCUGAUUCUUAUGUGUUGAUUCACAUAUGCGAAAAGAAUGUUACAUAUGUGUAGAAGAAUGACUAGCUGUCUCCCACUACACAUCACCAAAAACCUUCAUAAUGAAGAAAAUGCUAAGGGAACAAAGAAACGUGAUUCUAUGGACAGAUAAGGUGAAAUACAAAAUUAUAACUUUUUUUUUUCAGGUUCCAGGUACCUUUGUUUUCCGUCUAUUUAUUCAUUGCCAUCUUAGAUAAUUAAUCAUACAGGUGCAUAUUUCAUUAGCUCUUAAAAUUUUAUUGUUUUUGAUGAUACAUGGGCAUACGUGUUUAUAAAAAUCAUUAUUUUUACUUUCAAAAGGUUAAAAUAAGUGAAUUUGGGAAUUCAAGAUGAAGCUCAGCAAGAUAUGGAUAAGAAAUAGCACAAUUUGGAACAUAUAAAGGUAAAAGUAUUUCUUUCUGCUAUCAUGUUGUUCAGAAUUUGGAUUUUAUUCAAACUAUUAUUAAUGUUUGGUUGACCUUUUUAUUAAAGUAUAGCUUACACUUUUUUUUAAUAGAUGAUUAGUUUCUAUUUAUCAUUACUGUUAUCACACAAUCCUUCUUAUGUAGGAUUCAUUGGGAUCAAUUGCUCGCGCUUAAGGUAACAGUCUUGAUCUAAUUCUCUUCGAAUUCAAUUUAAGUGUAAUUUGAUCAGUUUCUACAAUUUGUUCAAUGUGUUGGCUUCCAAUUUUCAGGUGCAUCUAUUUAGUUUUUUCCAGGUAAAUCUAUGGGUUGGUUUAGCUCCAGGGUAUAUGUAUGGUGUUUGUUCCAAGGUAUGUGUUGUUUUAUUUGAACCUGUAAAACAACACAUUCUUGCAAUGUGAAGCCUUGGUGAAAGGACCUGUGAAAUUUGACUGAUUUUGGGACUUAGUGUCUAGGGUGGUUGAUGACGAGCUAGAAAUGGUUGUGAUCGAAAAUACUGAAGAAGCUAGAGUGCUCCCUAUGGAUACCCCAGACCACAAAAUGUAGCCAUCAUCUUUCACUGUCACCCUCCCCAUCUUACUACACCACUCACCAUAGCUUUCACCACCACCACCACCACAACAUAAAACAUCCUGGUAAUUUUCACUUUUUUUUUCAAAAUGUUGUUUUAGGGUUUAGGGUUUAGGGUUUAGGGUUAGAUAAUCCAUUUAAGAUACCUAAGGUUGAUUUGAUAGACACAAUACUUAGUAAAUAUUCUCCAAGUAACCGACAUUGCAGGUUACAAUAGGGACAUCAAAGCAUGUUGGGAUUUGAUAACAAUGUGGUGUGCUCUUAGUAUUUUCUUUGUGUUUAAUAUUCUUUUUGUUCAUUUAAUACAUAUUUAUUAUUUUAGUUGAACCAUUGCACUUUAAGUUUUUGAUUUCUACAACCACAAAGCUUAUGAAUAUGCAAAAUUCAAAAUAGUUUUGUGCUCAUUAUGUAAUACCUCCUAAUACAUUUCCAAUUCGUAACACCGUAAAAAAAUUAAAACAAUUUUUCGCAUUUUCAAACACAUUUUUACAAACUCAUUGAUUCAUAAAAUGUUAUAGUAUCAUGUCUUUGUUUCACAAAACAUCUCCCAAUAUCAAAAUACAUAAAAUCCCAUGUGUGUGUACGAAUCAAGCCGGCACCUUCCCGCGGUCAUCACUGGUACCUGAAACACAUAACACGUAACACUGUAAGCAUAAGCUUAGUGAGUUCCCCAAAACACCACUCACAACACAUAUUAGCCACUCGAGGCUAUAACUCUGUUUGACCCUCUGGUCAAAGUGUCUCAGUGGGACCCUCUAGUCCCAUAAUUCUGUGGGCCCUCUGGCCCUAACUCUGUGGACCUUCCGGUCCUAACUCUAAAAACUCUGGCAUAUACAUAGCAUAAGUCACAUAGAAAUCACAUCAUGCAAAGCAUACAAAGUACUCUAUCACAUAACUCUAAUCACCACUCUAGGUAAAGUAUAGUGAGAAGACUCACCUCAGGCGUCUCGGUAAAUCUCUGACUCGGUAGAAAUAUUGCCUAGCCUCCGC
rnacentral:lncRNA from 1 species